CCUACGGGAGGCAGCAGUGAGGAAUAUUGGUCAAUGGUCGGGAGACUGAACCAGCCAAGCCGCGUGAGGGAUGAAGGUACAGAGUAUCGUAAACCUCUUUUGUCAGGGCACAAAGGCGGGGACGUGUCCCCGGAUGAGUGUACCUGAAGAAAAAGCAUCGGCAAAAUCCGUGCCAGCAGACGCAGUAAUACGGAGGGUGCGAGGGUUAUCCGGAUUUAUGGGGUGUAUAGGGUGCGCAGGCGGUCUGUUAAGUCAGCGGUCAAAGCGCGGGGCUCAACCCCGGCCCGCCGUUGAAACUGGCAGUCUCGAGUUGGAGAGAGGUAUGCGGAAUGCGCGGUGUAGCGGUGAAAUGCAUAGAUAUCGCGCAGAACUCCGAUUGCGAAGGCAGCAUGCCGGCUCCACACUGACGCUGAGGCACGAAAGCGUGGGUAUCGAACAGGAUUAGAUACCCUUGUAGUC
rnacentral:rRNA from 1 species